CAUAGAAGGGAAAGUAGCUCCCUGAAGCAAGGCUGCAGACUCACUGAGCAUGACAGACAGUAAAAUAACCCCACAGGCUGGCAGGGAAUAGCCAGCCAGUAGCAGAGGAGUUUGCCUGGGCUGCCUCACCGCAUCCGAACCUGUGCCUUGUUUCUUGCCUGCUGCCCUGCUGCUAAGUGCCUGCCGGGAGGUCUGAGGGGCUCCUGGACUGAGCUUCAACAAAGCCCCUCCACCUCUCCAGCCAUCUUUUCCAUCUGCCUCAGCAGCCUCCCCUGUGUGUUUUGCCCUUGUGUGGUGAUGAUCCAACUGGUGACAGGAGUGCAGCUGGUGGAGGCCAAUCAAUGCCUUAUAAUUCCCUUUAAGGGGGCCCUGCUGAGGAUGUUUUAUACGCUGAUGGACCUACAAUGCUUCUGGUGCCACGCCCUGGGACACAUAUGUCAUAAGUGCCCCAUGGUGGGGAAGCAUACCUAGUCUGCUUAGAAAGCAGCCUUGAGAAGAACAAACAAACCAUCUAUAAGAAGAUAAGGAGCAAAGCAAACUUCCUGUCUCAGGAGGUUGUAAAACAAGCAAUUCCUCACCAUCCAUCCAACUGCAUACCUAAGCCUAAGAUGUACGUAGCCAAGAGACUGUGAGUUUUGAUGAAGUCAACAAGGUAAUUGGCUAAACAGGUUGUCAGAGGCACCACAGCAGUUUGUCUGGAUAAAAAGGGAGUGAAGACCAUCCCCAACAACAUCAUAUGCCAUCAACUCAGGAGAAAACUACCGGUGUCCCUCCCAUAAGAUCACUGCGUCUAGAGGCACCAUGACUGGCCAGCGUGACCGAACCCGAGCACCAGUGGAUUGCCGUGUGUGUAUGAAUGGUUUUAGAUAAAGCAUUGCUUUUUCCCCCACUUGAUUUAUGUGUGUCACUCAAUAAAGAUCUUGGUU